AGAGAGAGUCCAUGAGCCUGACCAGACACUACUUUCAGGGCUCCAUCUGACUGUGGCUGGAUGUUCUGCACCACCAAGGUCUUCCCUUCUCCUCAAAGCGGAUGGCUAGCCUGGGCAGGAGGAGCCAGGAGAGAGGCCAGCUUGAUCCUGAUUGGGCAUCCUCAGGAUAAAGAGCUGAGCAGCCUUUAGUACAUUCACAACCUGAAUGGAGUGGUCGCUAUCCCUUCUGUCUUACUAGAGUGUUUUCAGCCCCACGGGAGUCUGCCCAUCUGGCAACCUACCCUGUCCCUGCUGGUCUGCAUAUCCUGGACCAUCUCCUGUCAGUGGAGGUCACAUCAAGCCUGUCCCUGCUGGUCUGCAUAUCCUGGACCAUCUCCUGUCAGUGGAGGUCACAUGGAGCCUGUCUUUCGGUGUCUGGCUUCUAUCUGAACAUCAUGCUUUUUGAGAGUCAUCUGCAUUGUACAGAGCUCCACAUUGUUGGAGCUUUUUCCCUUUCAUAGCUGAGCAGUAUUCCAUGGUAUGGACAGAGCACACUUUAUUCAUCACCUGUUGAUAAACAUCUGGAUUUUGUGAAUAAUGCUAUUUGAACAUGUGUGUAGAAAAGGUCCAUUUUUUUAACUUUGUAAAACGUUAAAGAUCCUGGAAGAAUGGAUAGGCAAGAGAAUUCUAAAGCAAUAAA